AGUGUUCCAGAAUGUCAGGGUUCUAGAAUUUCACCUUGGAAAUGUCAGUAUUCCAGCAUGUCAGGGUUUGAGAAUGUUGGUUUCAAAAUGUCAGUAUUUUGAAAUUCAGUAAUCUGGAAUGAAAGGGGUUCUAGAAUUUCAGUUUUGAAAUGUCAUUGUUUUGAAAUGUCAGUUUUUCCAGAAUGUUAGUGUUCUAGAAUGUUGGUUUCUAAAGGUCAGUGUUCCAGAAUGUCAGGGUUCGGGAAUGUCAGGUGUUAUGCCCCAGUCUAGGGGUGCCUUGGACACAACAUGAUAAGGCCUCAUCUUCCCCAAGUCCCAAGUAGCCACAAACCAGAGAUUUGUUUCGAUUUCAAGAAAAUGAUUUAUUUACAUAAGUAAAUGAACAUAUAGAUAUAGAAAAAUAACUAAGGCGGAGUGGUUAGGCUUCAGGUUGGACUAAUGCCAAAAUAACCAAAAUGAUCCUGUCUGUGGAGUAAGUAAUUAACCUACCCAAACAAAGGAAAUGAAUGACAAAUGACUUACCUCCCUAACUUAAUAAACAGGAGAAAAUAAGGUUAACAAAACUGGCAUCCCACCCUUACUACCCACUACCGAAAUCACUACCAAAAUACACAACGGUUUAACUCAGCAAAACAGUGUGGUCGGUUGGGAGAGGAGGAGGAUGAGGAAUGCCUGCAGCCCUGCCACCGGUGGCGGCCAUCUUGGCUCUUCAAAUAGCAGGUGUAAGUAGCUCUCAGCUAAUCCCUGGCCAGGACGUAGAUCCAAUCCAACAAUGACCGCACGGCUGUGGCACACACCUAUUUGCAUACGAGAUUGGCACAAAAGACACAGGGCACACACACACACACACACACAGCAGACAGUCUACAAAUAUAUGACCAGUCAUAACACAGGGUUCUAGAAUAUUGGUUUCUAAAUGUCAGUGUUCCGAAAGGUCAGGGUUCUAAAACGUCCGUGUUUUGAAAUGUCAGUGUUCCGGAAUGUCAGUGUUUUAGAAUGUCGGUAUUGAAAUUUCAGUGUUUUGAAAUGUCAGUGUUAAGGAAUAGCAGGGUGCUGGAAUGUCAGUUUCGAAAUGUCAGUGUUUUGAAAUGUCAGUGUUCUAGAAUUUUGGUUCUAAGCUGUCAGUGUUCCUGAAUAUCAGGGUUCUAGAAUUUUGGUUUUGUAACGUCAGUGUUCCUAAAUGUCAUCAUUUUAAAUUGUCAGUGUUUCAAAAUGUCAGGGUUCUAGAACGUCGGUUUUAAACUGUCAGUGUUUUGAAAUGUUAGUGUUCUGGAAUGUCAGGGUUAAAGAAUGUCGGUUUUUAAACGUCAGAUUCGAAAUGUCAGGGUUUUGAAAAUGUCAGUAUACUAGAAUGUUGGUUUUGAAAUGUCAGUGUUUUGAAAUGUCAGUGUGCUGGAAUGUCAGUAUUCCUGAAUGUUAGGGUUCUAGAAUGUUGGUUUUGAAAUGUCAGUAUUCCGAAAUGUCAUGGUUCUAGAGUGUUAGUUCUGAUAAGUCAUUGUUUUGAAAUGUAGGUGUUCCAGAAUGUCAGGGUUUUAAAAUGUUGGUUUUGAAAUGUCAGUUUUUUUAAAUGUCACUGUUCUUGAAUGUCAGGGUUCUGGAAUGUUGGUUUGAAAUGUCAAUGUUCCAGAAUGUUGGUUUUGAAAUGUCAUUGUUUUGAAAUGUCAGUGUCACAGAAUGUCAGUGUUCUAGAAUGUUGGUUCUAAGCUGUCAGUGUUCCUGAAUGUCAGGGUUCUAGAAUUUUGGUUUUGUAAUGUCAGUGUUCCGAAAUGUCAGCAUUUUAAAAUCUCAGUGUUCCAAAAUGUCAGGGUUCUAGGAUGUCGAUUUUGAAAUGUCAGCGUUCCCAAUUGUCAGUGAUCUAAAAUGUUAUUUUAAAAUUUGAGUGUUUUGAAGUGUCGGUUUUCUGGAAUGUCAGGGUUCUGGAAUAUUGGUUUUGAAAUGUCAGUUUUGAAAUGUCAGUGUUCCGGAGUGUCAGGGUUCUAGAAUGUUGGUUAUACAAUGUCAGUAUUUUGAAAUUUCAGUGAUCUGGAAUGAAAGGGGUUCUAGAAUGUCAGUUUUGAAAUGUCAGUGUUUUCAAUUGUCAGUGUUCCAGGAUGUCAGGGUUCUAGAAUGUCGUUUUUGAAAUGUCAGUGUUCUAAUAUGUCAGUUUUGAAAUGACAGUGUUCUAGGAUUUAAGGGUUCUAGAAUGUUGGUUUUGAAAUGUAAGUGUUUUGAAAUGUCACUGUUCCGCAAUGUCAAAGUUUUAAAUGUCAGUGUUUUAAAAUAUCAGUUUUCCGGAAUGUCACGGUUCCAGAAGGUCGGUUUUGAAAUGUCAGUGUUUCGAUAUUUCAAAGUUUUAAAUGUCAGUGUUUUGAAGUGUCAGUGAUCGGGAUUUCAUGGAUUCGGAAUGUUGGUUUUGAAAUGUCAGUGUUUUCGAAUGUCAGUGUUCCGGAAUGUCAGG
rnacentral:lncRNA from 1 species